GACGAACGCUGGCGGCGUGCUUAACACAUGCAAGUCGAACGAUGAAGCCUUAGCUUGCUUUGGUGGAUUAGUGGCGAACGGGUGAGUAACACGUGAGCAACGUGCCCAGGACUCUGGAAUAACCGCGGGAAACCGUGGCUAAUACCGGAUAGGUGCCGAGGCCGCAUGGUCUUCGGUUGGAAAGUUUUUGCGGUUCUGGAUCGGCUCACGGCCUAUCAGCUUGUUGGUGGGGUAAUGGCCUACCAAGGCGACGACGGGUAGCCGGCCUGAGAGGGUGACCGGCCACACUGGGACUGAGACACGGCCCAGACUCCUACGGGAGGCAGCAGUGGGGAAUAUUGCACAAUGGGCGCAAGCCUGAUGCAGCAACGCCGCGUGGGGGAUGACGGCCUUCGGGUUGUAAACCUCUUUUAGUAGGGAAGAAGCGCAAGUGACGGUACCUGCAGAAAAGGCACCGGCUAACUACGUG
rnacentral:rRNA from 1 species